rnacentral:rRNA from 1 species
CAAGCGUUGUCCGGAAUCAUUGGGCGUAAAGCGCGCGUAGGCGGCCCGGUAAGUCCGCUGUAAAAGUCCAGGGCUCAACCCUGGAAAGCCGGUGGAUACUGUCGGGCUAGAGUCCAGAAGAGGCGAGUGGAAUUCAUGGUGUAGCGGUGGAAUGCGCAGAUAUCAGGAGGAACACCGAUGGCGAAGGCAGCUCGCUGGGACGGUACUGACGCUGAGGCGCGAAAGCGUGGGGAGCGAACAGG